rnacentral:rRNA from 1 species
AACGAACGCUGGCGGCAGGCUUAACACAUGCAAGGCGAGCGCCCCGCAAGGGGAGCGACAGACGGGUGAGUAACACGUGGGAAUCUUCCCAUCUCUACGGAAUAACGCAUGGAAACGCGUGCUAAUACCGUAUACGUCCUUCGGAAGAAAGAUUUAUCGGGGAUGGAUGAGCCCGCGUUGGAUUAGCUAGUUGGUGGGGUAAAGGCCCACCAAGGCGACGAUCCAUAGCUGGUCUGAGAGGAUGAUCAGCCACACUGGGACUGAGACACGGCCCAGACUCCUACGGGAGGUAGCAGUGGGGAAUAUUGGACAAUGGGCGCAAGCCUGAACCAGCCAUGCCGCGUGAGUGAUGAAGGCCCUAUGGUUGUAAAGCUCUUUCACCGGUGAAGAUAAUGACGGUAACCGGAGAAGAAGCCCCGGCUAACUUCGUGCCAGCAGCCGCCGUAAGAC